rnacentral:rRNA from 1 species
GAUGAACGCUGGCGGCGUGCCUAACACAUGCAAGUCGAACGGAGAUUACGGACGGAAGUUUUCGGAUGGAAGCCUGUAAUUCUUAGUGGCGGACGGGUGAGUAACGCGUGGGCAACCUGCCCUAUACAGGGGGAUAGCAGCUGGAAACGGCUGGUAAGACCGCAUAAGUCGGUUAAAUCGCAUGAUUUGAUCGGGAAAUGAGCAAUCAGGUAUAGGAUGGGCCCGCGUCCGAUUAGCCAGUUGGCAGGGUAAAAGCCUACCAAAGCGACGAUCGGUAGCCGGACUGAGAGGUCGGACGGCCACAUUGGGACUGAGACACGGCCCAAACUCCUACGGGAGGCAGCAGUGGGGGAUAUUGCACAAUGGAGGAAACUCUGAUGCAGCGACGCCGCGUGAGUGAAGAAGUAUUUCGGUAUGUAAAGCUCUAUCAGCAGGGAAGAUGAUGACGGUACCUGCUAA